rnacentral:rRNA from 1 species
UACGUAGGGGGCAAGCGUUGUCCGGAUUUAUUGGGCGUAAAGAGCGUGUAGGCGGUUAGGUAGGUCCGUUGUGAAAACUCGAGGCUCAACCUCGAGACGCCGGUUGAAACCAUCUGGCUAGAGUCCGGAAGAGGAGAGUAGAAUUCCUGGUGUAGCGGUGAAAUGCGCAGAUAUCAGGAAGAACACCCGUGGCUAAGGCGGCUCUCUAGUACGGUACUGACGCUGAGACGCGAAAGCGUGGGGAGCGAACAGG